UACGUAGGGUGCAAGCGUUAAUCGGAAUUACUGGGCGUAAAGCGUGCGCAGGCGGUGAUGUAAGACAGGUGUGAAAUCCUCGGGCUUAACCUGGGAACUGCAUUUGUGACUGCAUCGCUGGAGUGCGGCAGAGGGGGAUGGAAUUCCGCGUGUAGCAGUGAAAUGCGUAGAUAUGCGGAGGAACACCGAUGGCGAAGGCAAUCCCCUGGGCCUGCACUGACGCUCAUGCACGAAAGCGUGGGGAGCAAACAGG
rnacentral:rRNA from 1 species